UGAAAAAAAAAAAAACUUCUCGAAUUAUACAGUUUCUGCGCCUCCAGUUUCUGCUUCUUCACUCUGAAGAAGUCGAGGUCCUUAUCGUGAUAGAGUGGGUGCUUUGGUGGAUGCUUUGUGAGAAGGUGGCAGGCUAGCUUGGUUGGCACGAGGGGGCUUUGUGCAAGCACUUGGUUGCACAAAACAUAUUGCAGCUUGCCGCCGAUUUCUGCAAACCCUAGCUUCAGGAAACUAUCUUAGUACCUUUGUAACUUCGACAUUGCGAUGGCACGUAGCGUGCGUCAUGCCAGACACAAGAUUAUCAAUAUGCACAUUAUCAACACUACCAAGAGGAAAGGUUCUCGAUAUGUGCAGAGUUCCGUUUGGCCAUUCGGUAUGGCGUCUUCGUAGCUGCAGUAGUGAUAAUGAUACAGCUUCCCUUUUGAUUAGCAUGGUGGCAUGAGCCACCUUGCAUAGGACUGGGAAAGGUGGAUGCGCUGCACUCUCUGCUCUUGAGUUGGACGCGGGUGCAAUUCGUGGUGAGCGCACGUGUGUGCGAGGGCUUCACAUACUUUAGGAAUGUUUUCGCGGACCCUUAUUUGAGAACCACUGCUUUACACAAUCCACCCUGUGGGUCAUGAUGAAUUUUCAGAAUGAUGAUCAAGUUUAUUUACUAGGGAUGGCUCAUUGGCCUAAAGGGUAGAGGAAUAUGGGGUCGGGAAAUGACGUGGGCCAGCCAUUGACAGAUACUCUGCUCUACACCAUGCGGAGUAUGCCUGACUCCACUGCAUAGGCGUAGAGGGUUCGCAGAAUGCUGCCGGCUUUCAUCAAUGGACAGAUCCACUCUUUGUAGCUAGCCACUUGGCCUCGGUGCUUCCGCCGGAGGGCCUCGAACUGUUGGUGCAGACGUCUCGUUGCACCCAGAUCAACUCUGUACAGGAGGCAAGUAAGCCACAGCUUCUUCCAAUAAUUUUUUUUUUGCUUUCUUUAUGCACAUGCCAGUACUUCUGGAGUUAGUGGCACGCCAGUGUGGGCCUUGUGCACUAGAACUUGAAAAGCUCUAGGCAGGCCUGCAGGCAGUGGGUCGUCCUUGGGUGUGUAGCAUGUAAGGAGCUCGCGGAACUUCCGGCAUCUCCUUCAUUGUUCAAAGCAGCUGUUCACUGUGUUGCCGUCAUGGGACAUGAAGGUUGCCACGUCGCUGCAGCGGUCAGAAGCUAAGAUCUUGCUCGCAGUGGCGUGCGUCGCUUCGUUGCCCAGUACACCACUGUGGCUGGGGACCAACACCACAUGCGUAUAAACACCCUGAGGCCUGCGCAGCUGUCUGCUGGUCUCUGCAAUUAUUGUGCUUAUAGGUUCCUUGAGAGGUGCCUGUAAUACACUCACUGCCACCUGGCUGUCCGUGUAGCGCUUUCUCUGUGUAGUGAUGUCUGGGGGGUUUCUCAAGUGCCAAAACAGGGCGUUGCGGACAGCUAGUAGUUGAGCCGUCAAGGCAUCUGGAGGUCCUUGGUCACCAAACUCAUAUUCCUGGGCGCAGGUUGAUUCCAAAUCAAUGCGGUGAAGCCCAACCGUGGUUCGUGUGCCAUGAAGUGUGUAAAUGUGAGCAGCUUUGGAGUGAACAAAGCUUUCUACAUGUCAGUUCGCGUAAUACUGUCUGUGCUCAAGGUGGCGAUAGGGAUACAUGCAUCUGCGUAGAGGUCAUGAGUCGACCAGUUGAGGGCGCUAUGGCGGCGUCAGUGGGGCAGGAUCUAGCUGCUGGUCCGGUGCAAAAGAUCUGCCUAACAGGUAGUCUCUGAAUUUGGUGAUCGCAAAAAAGUUGAAGUUGACAGUAGUUAUUCUCUGCCUUUGUGAGUGUUCUAUAACGAAAGGCAAUGGGCCGUUACACCCCGUCAAAGAUCUGGGAGAGUACGGCUCCGACCCCUGCUGGUGAUGUGUCGCAUUCCAAUAUGACUUUUUUCUCUGGGUCAUAGUGGACCAGGAGAUUCAAACUUUGCUGCGAUUGCUUAAGUGUUCUGAAUUCAUUCCUUUCUUUGCCCCACCUCCAUUUCGAAUCCUUUCUUAGAAGGUUGUGUAGUUGGGAAAGUAGAACAAGAAUGAUUCUUG
rnacentral:lncRNA from 1 species